rnacentral:sRNA from 1 species
UCAGACCCGGACAGAAGUUAAAGAGUCGGGUUGAAAACGCAACGCCCAAAGAAGAGUAAUUUUAACUAACUAAAAAGGCCGCUUUUGCGGCCUUUUUUCUUUUCACUGCUGCAUAAGCACCGUAAAAUCAAGAUCAUCCCUUUUCAGCAGAAUGGAAAAU